rnacentral:sRNA from 2 species
GAGAAGCUUCGACUAAGGUUCGAUUCGAGCGUCAGCGAGAAAGCGUUGCCGCAGGCAACGACCCGAAGGGCGAAGCGCGCAGCGCUGAGUCAUCCUUCCCCCACCACCA